AUGGGCACGUCCCACCGCCGGCCGGCCUCCGUGCUCCGGCCACCGACGCGUCCUCGUCGGCGUCCUCGCCCCUGCCUCCAACUCCAAGCCGCGCCGACCGUCCUCCUCCACACCGAGCUCCGGCCAUCAGGUUAAUUAGUAGGGGCUGGACGAGGAUUCAGAGGAGGAGAAGGUGAGCAGUGCCAUAAAGAUCAACUCCCGCACACCACAUGUUCGAUGAAAUGCCCAGCAAGGAGCCGCCCAUCCAUGUUGAAAAAGUCACCAUCUAAAAGGUUAUCCGACAAGGUAUAGUAUCGUGAAUCUGGUCGAUGAUGAUGGAUCUUAUGGAUGUGAGCAAUGUCCCAAAUGACAUCGAUGAGGAGGAACCACUUCUAUUUGAAUUUCAUAAGCUUGAUGCUUUGGAAGCUGAUAUGGACUUCAAAUAAAACUCAGUCCAUCAUACCUCCAACCAGACAAGGAGACUGAUCUUUAACUAACCUGCUACACCAAGUGGUCAUGCAGCAGUCCUGGCAAACCGGCAGCAGAGUGCUUGAAGCUAUAAGCAGGUGUCUUUUAUCUUGUCACAUUAUCUAAUUUACAGGAGGAUGAACUGGGACUGUCUACAGUGCCACACGCAUCAAUUCGUACCUGAAAACUAACCAAGAAAACUACGGUAUAGGUUUGAUCUCGUUGUAAAUAGUCGACACUUUCUUUAUGCACAUACAAAUUCAUUGUAUCUUUCCUCAUAUAUACCACUGCAAUUUGUUGAACGAUGAAAUGUCUCUUCCCCAUUGUGUUGGAAUAACAGUGAGUGAUAAAGGGAGUGUUCUCUA